rnacentral:rRNA from 1 species
GCCAGUGAAUUGUAAUACGACUCACUAUAGGGCGAAUUGGGCCCUCUAGAUGCAUGCUCGAGCGGCCGCCAGUGUGAUGGAUAUCUGCAGAAUUCGCCCUUCAGGCCUAACACAUGCAAGUCGAACGAGAAGCCUUCCUUCGGGAAGGUGGACAGUGGCAGACGGGUGAGUAACGCGUGGGAACGUGCCUUUCGGUUCGGAAUAACUCAGGGAAACUUGGGCUAAUACCGGAUACGCCCUUCGGGGGAAAGAUUUAUCGCCGAAAGAUCGGCCCGCGUCAGAUUAGCUAGUUGGUGGGGUAAUGGCUCACCAAGGCGACGAUUCUGUAGCUGGUCUGAGAGGAUGACCAGCCACACUGGGACUGAGACACGGCCCAGACUCCUACGGGAGGCAGCAGUGGGGAAUAUUGGACAAUGGGCGCAAGCCUGAUCCAGCCAUGCCGCGUGGGUGAUGAAGGCCUUAGGGUUGUAAACCCCUUUCAGCGGGGAAGAUAAUGACG